GUAGGGAAUCCUGGUGCUGCUGAUUUACAAUCUUCAACUGUCGAGGGCCGUGGUGCCACUGAAUCGUUGCAGUCUUCAACUCCUCAGAGUAAUACUGCUGCAGCAUCGAGUUUUAAAUUAGAAGACUUUGAGUCUCUGGAAACCUCGGCCACCUCACUAGUGGGAGAUAUAGGGAGGCCGGGGUUGAACUUUGUUUAGAGGACAAUGCCUCGGAAGAGUUUGUCAUAGGCUCCAGAAGGGAUGACGGAAAGGUGUAUGCAGGCUGUGGCUCCUGGAUAAAUGAAAAAGCCUGGGGAUGUUUGUUCAGCGCUUCUACAGACUCUAUGUUCUGUAGAAGUGCUGCUACUGUAUUUUGGACCCCCGAACAACUGAAAACCAGGAGUGUCACUGGAACACUUUCGAACAAGGCACGGCAUCUUGGCUACACUGAGGCAAAGCCAGCGCUGGCACCAGAGAAAGUAUCUUCUCUAAAGGCAUUGUUCGCCAUUUACAUGGGUGACAUGCCAAAGGAGGUGUCAGACAAGAGAAUGAAGGCGGCCGAAAACACUUGUCGCAGAAGCUCGGCGAUAUGCAGCGGUGGUGAACUCUGCGAAUGCAUGUUGAAAUAAACUAGCUUGAGCCUUCAGGUUC